CCCCCUCUCCCCCCUACACACUACACACCAGCAGCAACGAUAUGAUUCCACCUGAAGAUUAACCAGAACUGAAGGGAAACCAGGACGUGACAAUCCCGUUGUUCAAGUCCCAUGCGUUCCUGAAGAUCUACCUACCGUUCCGAUGACCUCACCCUGACCUCGUCACGGAACACCAGCCCGUUGCCACGACAACCUAGACAGCGGAACUCCGGAACCCCUUCUCAUCCCAACGACUGACUAUCGUACGGCCUCAGGACCCAGAAGAAAGGGAUGUGGAAAAAAGUGUAAAGAAAUAACUGAUUAACUAAAAAGAGGAGAGAGAGAGAGACUACGUCAGUGUUCUGUUGUUCAUUCCUUCAUCCCCCUCUGUACUUGGACUGAUAGCGUGGGAAAGCUUUUAUUAAGUUCUUAUUUCGUCUCACUUUAACUUUUAUCUCUGUCUGUCUAUUUCUGACUCUCUCUCUCUCUCUCUCUCUCUCUCUCUCUCUCUCUC